AUGUCAACGCAGACACAAAACAGGGCAUGGGUCAGAUCUAGCUGGUUGCAUUCCUAAUACCUAGGUUUCAGAGUAAAAAUAUAGAGUCAGCUUGUGAUGGCAUUCCCUCGAAACAUGGAAGGAAUUGCAGUAAUGAAAGUCAUCAUGUAUUCUAAGAGACUGUUCUGCGAGAGCACAACACAGACGGGGCUAAAGCAGGGAUUGUCUAAGCCCAGUGUGGAGGAACCAUCAAGGAUUUCAGCACGUUUUUUUAGCCAUUGUGAGAAGCAAAAGUGCUCAGGAGUUAAGAGAAGCAGACGUCCGAAAUUAUCUCCAUGCAUUACCAAAAACCGUGGGCACCACGGCACGGGGAAAACUUACCAGGUACAAUGAGCCAGUGACUGUUACUGAAUUUCUUAAGAUUACACUUUUCCCAACUACUGCAGACUGCUUCAGAAUAGAAGAAGACAACUCUCAUGCCAUCAAGCCGACGGACUUUCAAAAAAAUAAAAGAUGCAUUUCUUUACUUGUAAGUAUUUGUCUUUGCCAAGGGCUCUCUGAUAUGGUAGCACAGAAGUUUGCACAUUCUAAGGAUCU
rnacentral:antisense_RNA from 1 species